AACGAACGCUGGCGGCAUGCCUAACACAUGCAAGUCGAACGAGAUCUUCGGGUCUAGUGGCGCACGGGUGCGUAACGCGUGGGAAUCUGCCCUUUGGUUCGGAAUAACAGUUGGAAACGACUGCUAAUACCGGAUGAUGACGAAAGUCCAAAGAUUUAUCGCCAGAGGAUGAGCCCGCGUAGGAUUAGCUAGUUGGUGUGGUAAAGGCGCACCAAGGCGACGAUCCUUAGCUGGUCUGAGAGGAUGAUCAGCCACACUGGGACUGAGACACGGCCAAGACCCCUAGGGGGGGCAGCGGUGGGAAAUAUUGAACAAGGGGAGAAAGCCUGAUCAAGCAAUGCCGCGUGAGUGAUGAAGGCUUUAGGGUUGUAAAGCUUUUUUACCCGGGAUGAUAAUGACAGUACCGGGAGAAAAAGCCCCGGCUAACUCCGUGCCAGCCGCCGCAGUAA
rnacentral:rRNA from 1 species